AUUGAACGCUGGCGGCAUGCCUUACACAUGCAAGUCGAACGGUAACGGGCCUUCGGGUGCCGACGAGUGGCGAACGGGUGAGUAAUAUAUCGGAACGUGCCCAGUAGUGGGGGAUAGCCCGGCGAAAGCCGGAUUAAUACCGCAUACGACCUGAGGGUGAAAGCGGGGGAUCGCAAGACCUCGCGCUAUUGGAGCGGCCGAUAUCAGAUUAGCUAGUUGGUGGGGUAAAGGCCUACCAAGGCAACGAUCUGUAGUUGGGCUGAAAGGCCGGCCAGCCACACUGGAACUGAGAAACGGCCCAGAAUCCUACGGGAGGCAGCAGUGGGGAAUUUUGGACAAUGGGCACAAGCCUGAUCCAGCAAUGCCGCGUGCAGGAAGAAGGCCUUCGGGUUGUAAACUGCUUUUGUCAGGGAAGAAAUCUUCUGGGUUAAUACCUCGGGAGGAUGACGGUACCUGAAGAAUAAGCACCGGCUAACUACGUGCCAGCAGCCGCCGUAAGAC
rnacentral:rRNA from 1 species